rnacentral:rRNA from 1 species
GAUGAACGCUAGCGGGAGGCCUAACACAUGCAAGCCGAGCGGUAUUGUUUCUUCGGAAAUGAGAGAGCGGCGUACGGGUGCGGAACACGUGUGCAACCUGCCUUUAUCUGGGGGAUAGCCUUUCGAAAGGAAGAUUAAUACUCCAUAACAUAUUGAUUGGCAUCAAUUAAUAUUGAAAGCUCCGGCGGAUAGAGAUGGGCACGCGCAAGAUUAGCUAGUUGGUGAGGUAACGGCUCACCAAGGCGAUGAUCUUUAGGGGGCCUGAGAGGGUGAUCCCCCACACUGGUACUGAGACACGGACCAGACUCCUACGGGAGGCAGCAGUGAGGAAUAUUGGUCAAUGGGUGCAAGCCUGAACCAGCCAUCCCGCGUGAAGGACGACUGCCCUAUGGGUUGUAAACUUCUUUUGUAUAGGGAUAACCUACCCUCGUGAGGGUAGCUGAAGGUACUAUACGAAUAAGCACCGGCUAACUCCGUGCCAGCAGCCGCGGUAAUACGGAGGGUGCAAGCGUUAUCCGGAUUUAUUGGGUUUAAAGGGUCCGUAGGCGGACUUAUAAGUCAGUGGUGAAAGCUUGUCGCUUAACGAUAGAACUGCCAUUGAUACUGUAAGUCUUGAGUAUAUUUGAGGUAGCUGGAAUAAGUAGUGUAGCGGUGAAAUGCAUAGAUAUUACUUAGAACACCAAUUGCGAAGGCAGGUUACCAAGAUAUAACUGACGCUGAGGGACAAAAGCGUGGGGAGCGAACAGGAUUAGAUACCCUGGUAGUCCACGCCGUAAACGAUGCUAACUCGUUUUUGGGCUUUAGGGUUCAGAGACCAAGCGAAAGUGAUAAGUUAGCCACCUGGGGAGUACGCUCGCAAGAGUGAAACUCAAAGGAAUUGACGGGGGCCCGCACAAGCGGUGGAUUAUGUGGUUUAAUUCGAUGAUACGCGAGGAACCUUACCAAGACUUAAAUGGGAAUUGACAGCUUUAGAAAUAGAGCUUUCUUCGGACAAUUUUCAAGGUGCUGCAUGGUUGUCGUCAGCUCGUGCCGUGAGGUGUUAGGUUAAGUCCUGCAACGAGCGCAACCCCUGUCACUAGUUGCCAUCAUUCAGUUGGGGACUCUAGUGAGACUGCCUACGCAAGUAGAGAGGAAGGUGGGGAUGACGUCAAAUCGUCACGGCCCUUACGUCUUGGGCCACACACGUAAUACAAUGGCCGGUACAGAGGGCAGCUACACAGCGAUGUGAUGCAAAUCUCGAAAGCCGGUCUCAGUUCGGAUUGGAGUCUGCAACUCGACUCUAUGAAGCUGGAAUCGCUAGUAAUCGCGCAUCAGCCAUGGCGCGGUGAAUACGUUCCCGGGCCU